GAAAUUUUGCAAAGAUUGGGUGGAGUCGUCAUAGCACGGCGGACCGAAGGUCCUUUACCGUCAUUUGUGUGCGACACAAAUGCAGCACAACAAUAGACAUGGAGGCGAUGGUUCACCUGCUGCUCGGUCUGUGGCUUUCUGUCAGAUUCAAAGUAAUAGAAGAGUCGGAGAAAGCUGAGAGCGACGAGUCGAAACACUGAGGAGACACACAGGAGAGUUUGGGAGGCGAUACAGCAGCAUCAAGCUGAAGACAAGAGGAUAUGAACUAUGAUAUGAGGACAUCCACCAACCACUGGAACACAUCUCCAAAGUUCUGCUGGUCCAGCUCAGCUUCCCCUCAGAAGAAGUGGUGCCACCUGCCAGAUGAAGGAAACUUUUGAGAGGCAGCUGGCAUCGUGAUUGGACUGUACUUUGGUCUGUUCCAAUCCAGCUUCAGCUCCAGAGACGGCAGGCGGGACGAGUCAACGGAGGCCUGGUGGACGAAGGCAUGCAGCUGAGUACAAUCCAGAAAACAACAGAGGAGGAGGAAACAAACAUAGUAGCAUAGUGUAAAAUAUACAUAGUAUAUUGUAUAAAUAACAAGUCAAAGUAAAGAGACAUACACUGUAGAAUUGUAGUAAUUGUGGACUGACUGAUUUUCUGAUUAUUGGUAUUUUUUACCGGUAAUAAAUACAUUUACUUUGGCUCUGAACCUUUAUCUACCUGUGGUCGCUCUGUCUUCUGGAGUGAUUUGAUUGGUUAUACGUCACAAACAGUCUCCUUUACCUUAACAUCUGUAAAACAUGAAUAAACAACACGGUAACAACAAAGUUUUCUGUUAAAGUUCUUGUAAGUUUAACACCAAGAUUUUAAAUACUUUCAUUUACUGCAAAUGAAUAUCUACUCCAAAUGUCUCACUAAUAAUCAUUGUCAGCCUUAAAAACCCACAAAACACCCCUCUAUACUCGACCACACUUAGUACAGUCCGGUUCCCCCUUCUAUAAAUCUGCUUGGAAUCUUCCACUUCCUGUUUGUCAAAGUGGCCUUCUACCUGGACAGGUUUUGUUGGAGCUCAUGCAACAAACAUUUUGGGUAACUGCACUUUAAUAUGGAUGGAUGACACUCAAUUAGAGUCUGUUUUACUGAGACUGAGUUAAGAUGUGCAGAUCUGUCA
ensembl:lncRNA